rnacentral:sRNA from 1 species
AUAAAAGAAAGAGGUUUAAUUGGACUUACGGUUCCACGUGGCUGGGGAAGCCUCACAAUCGUGGCAGAAGGCAAGGAGGAGCAAGUCCUGUCUUACAUGAUGGCAGCAGGCAAAGAGAGAAUGAGGAAGAUGCAAAAGCAGAAAUCCCUGAUAAAACCAUCAGACCUUGUGCAACUUAUUGACUCCAUGAGAACAGUAUGGGGGAAACCACCCUCAUGAUUCAAUUAUCUCUCACCAGGUCCCUCCCACAACACGUGGAAUUAUGGGAGUACAAUUCAAGAUGAGAUUUGGGUGGGGACACAGAGCCAGACCAUGUCACUAUUUUAUUAUUGCCAAAUUAUUCUCCAUAGUGGUUACAUCAGUGUAUAGUCUCACAGCGUUAUAUGAAAGUUUCCAUUUACCCAGAUUUUUGCCAGCUCAUAGUAUAUGUAUGACUUUACAUGUUUGCUAUUCUGAUAGUUAUAAAAUGGUAUAGAUCAUCAUAAUUUUGAGUUUUCUCUGAUUUCAGUGUCUUCAAUCUGAAUCUGUUAGAGACCAGUAUUAGUGGUUUCUAAAAGGCCUUUUGUUUUUGAACUGAAAACUUUGUUUAACCUUUUAUUGUGAUACUUGUCAGUAGUGAUAUGAUCUCUAUUUUAUAUCCAACUUAUUUUUCAGUUUGCUAAUCCAGACUUUACACAACCUAUCUCAGAAGUUGUAGAUGAAGUAAUUCAGAAUUGUCCUAUUGAUGUCAGACGUCCUCUCUACAAGAAUAUUGUCCUCUCUGGAGGUUCAACCAUGUUCAGGGACUUUGGACGUCGCUUGCAAAGAGAUUUGAAAAGAACUGUAGAUGCCCGGCUGAAAUUAAGUGAGGAAUUGAGUGGCGGUAGAUUGAAGGUUGGUUUUCCCGAUUAUUGGUGAGAAGGUUGAGGGUGCCUUCCUUGAUUGGGAUGAAAAAUAUUUGCCAACAUUCACUCUGAUUUAGGAAAAUAAGAGGAACGUGUCAGGUAUUCUAAUGGAAAUGGUUAAUGUUAUAGAUUUAUGUCUGAUAUUCUGGAUCAUUUGAUUCUUUUAGGAUGUUGUCUGUAUUUCUGGAAAAUAAUUCUUAGUAAAACCUGUGGAAAGACUUUUUUUAAAAUACCUCUCUCAUAGAUAAUUAAUAUAGAUUUCUUUGCAUACACCAACAAUAAAAUUAAUUAUGGAUCCACAAAAUUUUAUAUACUAUAGAAGGACAACAAAGCUGAGUUGAGAUUGAUGCCAUUGUUGAGUAGUCAAGCCUGCUCUCAAAAACUGACUUUAGCUCCCACAUAGCGACCUCAAAGUGUGCACUCAAAUCGGUGGUUUAACAAAGUAACCUUUGUAUUACAUGUCCUGCACCUUUAGGCUUGAGGUUAAAAAAAAUAAAAAUUAAUUUAAAAUUCUUAGAUGUCUACUUUCUAUAUUUAGAGAUAGAUUCUUCAUUUUUUUCAUCCUUGUUAAAUAUUGAAGCAGAACAUUGACUUAGAGCAAUGAUAUGGCUUUUUUCAAAGCUGUUUGAAAAAAGGUAUUUUGAAUAAAGGUAUUUCAUGCUGAAUAAAAUAACCUUCUGCUUGGAAGAUUACCAAGAAUGAGGACUUUAUCUGAAACUUCCACAAUCAUUCAGAAUUACUUAAAAGUAAAGCACAACACUCUAGGGUUUGCUGAUUGUCGAGAAAUUGCAUGAUGGCUGACUGUUCUCAGCGCCUAUAUUUUGAUGAUCGUGAGUAAACCUAUCCCUAGGAAUGCAGUACAAAGUGUAUGUUUUGGGUGGAAGGCAAAAUAUUGAACUCUGUCCCUAUAAUGUCAUGACUUCACACUUCAGGAAGUCUACUCAAUAGACUUUUAAAAUGUUGCGUUUGCUUUUGUAUCCCCUUCCCAACCAACCAAACCACCAGCCCACCCCCAUUCAUCCAUUCAUUUGCCCAUCCAUCUACUCCCCUUACCCACAUAUCUGUCUACCCUACCUCCUACCUAAAAAAGAAGUCAUUGGGUUUUGCAAGUAUAAAUUCUCUGUACUGAGAAUCCUACUAACCACAUUGAUUAUGUGAAUGAACAUAGUGCAUGUUCUGUUUUUUUUGUUAGAAUACUUAAAAGAUUGAAGUUGAUUGUCCUAAUGGUAUGGUUAUGGAUGUAUUAAGUAGCCAUUUAGUUUUUAAUAACUCAUUACAGAUAUGUAAGUACAAAACAAUGCUGUAUGUUUUUGAGUAUAGUAUUUUAAUAAAGUGAGAUUGUUUAACAUUUUUAAGCUCUUUUUACACUUGUAAAUAAGAAAUAAAUUUACCCAGUGAUCAGUACCGUAUCGAUGUAUCGAAAGAAACAGGUUGGGUGUCCCUUUUUUGAAUUGUUUCAUACCAGAAGUGUUUCAGGUUUUGAGUUUUUCUGGAUUUUGGAGUAUUUGCAUUAUAUACUGGUUCAACAUCCUUAAUCCAAAAAUCUGAAAUCGUGAGCAUUUCCUUUGAACAUCAUGUUGGUGCUCAAAAAGUUUUUGGAUCUUGGAGCAUUUUGGAUUUUCAGACUUGGGAUGCUCAUCAUGUAUAGGAAAAACCUUGUGUUUUGGAGGACUCUGCCUUCUUCACCUUAGUUUUACUUGCUAGUAACUUUUAUGGUCUUAAUAGCAUGGCUUUAUCUAUCUAUCUGUCUCUGGCUUUAUUCCCCUUCCGUCUGUAAUUUUUAAUGGCAAUGAAACAGCUUUGAAAAAAGCCAUAUCAUUCUGUUUCUAUAAAUAUGUGUGUGUACACACACACACACACACACUAAAUUGUAGAUAUGAUGGUUCAUUAUCCCCAACCAUUUUAGUAUAUUUCUAAAAUCAAGAACAUAUUACAGUUAUCAAAAUCAUGAAAUUAACCUUGAUCCAGUGUUAUCUAGUUAUAGAACUGAUUCUAAUUUUACCAGUUGUUUCACUAAUGUCCCUUAUAACAAAAGGAGAACAAAAUACCUUUUUCCCCCUUAUCCAGGAUCCAGUCAAGGAUUGCAUGUUUCAUUUACUUAUUGUGUUGCUUCAGUCUGUUACAUACUCAGUGUUUUUUGUCUUUCAUGAAUGAAUGUAACAUUUUUGAAGAGUACAGUCAUUUAUUUUGUAGCAUAUCCUUCAGCUUGGGUUUGUUUAAUAUUUCUGCUUGAGUAGGUUCAGAUGAUGUGCUUCUGGCAGUGUUGCCACAGAAUUGAUAUUGUGUCAUUUUUAGUGCAUUGUAUCAGUAGACACAUGAUAGAAUUUGUCCUGUGUGUGAAUUUUGAGCUUUUGGUUGAAGUUGUGUCUGCCAGGUUUUUUCACUAUAAAGUUAUUAUGUUUUCCUUUAUAUUUAAUAAGAACCUUAUGAGGAGACACUUUCAGACUAUCCUGUUUCUCGUUGAAGUUUCAGUCACUAGUUUUUAGCAUCCAUUGUGAUUCUUUCCUAAAACAGUUAUUACUGUGGUAGUUGCUAAAUCGCGUUUUGCAAUUUCCAUCAUUCCUUCUAUGUUUUUAAGUCUUGUUUUACUAUAAGCAAGAGUUUUCCCUUAUCCCACAUUCAUUUAUUCUUUUAGUAAUAUCUAUAUGAACUCCUGAUUUCUCAUUUUGUGGUCUGUAUCUUUAAUAUCACUGUGAUAUCAUAAUAUCAGUAAUACCACUCAUCAUUAAUUUUAAUGCCACAUUUUUUUUUUUUUCAGAUUUGACCAGUGGGAGUUAUUCACAUGGCUCUUAGAUUUUUUUUUUGAUGCAGCCACAUCUUUUUUUGCCUACUUCUGUACUUCCUGGCACAGCAAGGUGUUUCAGGCUGAUCUUGUACUUUCUUUUUUCUGGCCCUGGAAUCAGCCCUUUUUUUCUCCUUUUCUUUCUUCAAGACACCCUUGUCUUGUUCCUUUUAGUGGAGAAUGUUACUAAGAAACCAAGCUUUGUGCUCAUUGCUGCUGGGGUAUCACUGAGUCUAGGCCUUCUCAGUGAUUAGAGCUAGGGGUGUGUGUGUGUCUGUACAUCUAUAUCUAAUUCUCUACAUAAAUUAAAACCAUGAAUUUUUACAGAUGUCUCCAGUUACAGAAGGUUCACUCUAGUUUUCUGCCCUUCCAUAUUGUAAUGCCCUUCUCUGACAGUGAGAAACCUGGCUCCUAUUAUCUAUAAUAAUAUUUAUGUUUUUGCUUAAUCCUGGAAUAUGUAUAUAAUAGUUUCAGAACUGUUAAUCCACACCACUGAAAAAUAGACCCAGAACUAGAGUUCAGUAUUUGCUUAUAUUUUGUCUUCAGCCUGAAGGCUUAUAAGAUUCAAAAUACUGUGUUCACAAGUUGCUUGGGUUAGUCCCUUUCCUCACCUUAGUGUGCUUAUAUUUGAAAAAAGUACAAUUAGUUUGUUUUUGUUGUACUUUGUUUUGCCCCAACCUCCCCUUCUUUUAAGGUGUUAUUUUUUAAUAUGUAAAACACUAACAUUUAGAUUCUUAAAGUCAGAACUGUAUAAAACGUGUGCUCAUUGCUAUUUCCCUUCCAUUUAUUCUGCUCUGUUCCCUCCCUGUCUCUUCCACAGUGUUCCCAACCCCUUUCCUCUGAGACAACCAAUCUCAGUUGUUUCUAGUUUGUAAGAUACCACCUGAAUUUAGUACAAAUAUUAUUUUUGUAUAUGUAUAUUUAAGGUUAAAUGACACAGAAAUUGUUAUGUGAAUUUACUAUGAAGAUGAUCUUACUAUGUCUUUCUUUAGCCAAAACCUAUUGAUGUACAAGUCAUUACACACCACAUGCAGCGAUAUGCAGUUUGGUUUGGAGGAUCAAUGCUGGCUUCCACGUCUAUAAUGCUUGAAUUGUACACUUCUAAGUGUGCAGUGCAAGAGCUUGUUUAUAUUUCAUACUUUUUAUACUUUGAGGAAAAAAAGUCAAAGAAAAAUUGUAUUUGAGGGAAAAAACCAUGACCAAGUAAAGGAUAAAUUCAAAAAAUAGCCUCAUAAGACUUGGCAUACACACUCAUGGGAUUCCAGUUAUUAUGGAGUGCUUCCAUCCCUCUCCACCCCUUCCCCCCAAAAGGUUUUCUUUGCAAGUGCUUUUGGAACUAAGAGCUAGUAUCUUGGAUUAACUGAUGCCUGCUAGUGCUUUCUGAUAACUCGCAUUCUGUUUCUUGCUUUAAAGGAAGAGUAAAGACAAGAGUGUUGGACCAGUAUUGCAGUUCUGUAGUGUCAUUUCUUAUAAAAAACAAAACAACAACAAUAAUUUAUCAAAAUUGGCAUAUUUAAAGCCUAACAACAUUCUAAUAAAGGCACAAAUUUCUUUUUAAUACUUGUUUUAGGCUCUUUAAUCUCUUUAUAAGUUAACUAAUCUAUUUUCUUCAAACUUCUGCAAUAGUUCUUUAAAAUCACAACAGUUAGCAAGCUGACUUUUUUAAUGUGCUCAAUACAAAUACUUGUGAACUUUUAAUAUGUUGAGUGCUUUCAUUUUGAUAACUGGAUCUCCAUUUGAUAUUUUCAUUUGUAUAACUCAUUUGAAGUCUGAAAAUUUUUUUUAGUGCCAGUCCCUGAACAUAUCAUUGAAAGUUAAUUUUCUUUGCAUUUUAAAAUAUCUGGAUUAUGAAGAAAAAGUGAUGAAAAUAAAUUAAAACUGAAUUA